rnacentral:rRNA from 1 species
CACGGAUCCAGAGUUUGAUCAUGGCUCAGGAUGAACGCUGGCGGCGUGCUUAACACAUGCAAGUCGAGCGAAGUUUAAAGAGCUUGCUUUUUAAACUUAGCGGCGGACGGGUGAGUAACGCGUGGGUAACCUGCCCUGUACAGAGGAAUAACAGUUAGAAAUGACUGCUAAUGCCUCAUAAGCCGACGGAAUGGCAUCUUUUUGUCGGAAAAKAUUUAUCGGUACAGGAGGGACCCGCGUCUGAUUAGCUAGUUGGUGAGGUAACGGCCCACCAAGGCGACGAUCAGUAGCCGGCCUGAGAGGGUGAACGGCCACAUUGGGACUGAGACACGGCCCAAACUCCUACGGGAGGCAGCAGUGGGGAAUAUUGGACAAUGGGGGAAACCCUGAUCBAGCGACGCCGCGUGAGUGAAGAAGUAUUUCGGUAUGUAAAGCUCUAUCAGCAAGGAAGAAAAUGACGGUACUUGACUAAGAAGCUCCCGGCUAAAUACGUGCCCAGCAGCCCGCGGUAAUACGUAUGGAGCAAGCGUUAUCCGGAUUUACUGGGUGUAAAGGGAGCGUAGACGGGAUAGCAAGUCUGAAGUGAAAUCCCAUGGCUUAACCAUGGAACUGCUUUGGAAACUGCCAGGCUAGAGUGCAGGAGAGGUAAGCGGAAUUCCUAGUGUAGCGGUGAAAUGCGUAGAUAUUAGGAGGAACACCAGUGGCGAAGGCGGCUUACUGGACUGUAACUGACGUUGAGGCUCCAAAGCGUGGGGA